GCUGGCGAUGAUGACACACUUGCCCUCACUGAGAUCCUUUGCGAGGAUUGUUGUUGAGAACAUCCUCUGUGCUCAUGGUGUACUGAGCCUCC